CAAAGGCGCGGCCGCCCGGCGCCCCCAGCAGCCCGAGCCGGGGCGCACAGCCGGGGCGCAGCCCGCGCCCCCCGCCGCGAUUGACAUGAUGUUUCCACAAAGCAGGCAUUCGGGCUCCUCGCACCUACCCCAGCAACUCAAAUUCACCACCUCGGACUCCUGCGACCGCAUCAAAGACGAAUUUCAGCUACUGCAAGCUCAGUACCACAGCCUCAAGCUCGAAUGUGACAAGUUGGCCAGUGAGAAGUCAGAGAUGCAGCGUCACUAUGUGAUGGUAACUACUACGAGAUGUCCUACGGCUUGAACAUCGAGAUGCACAAACAGGCUGAGAUCGUCAAAAGGCUGAACGGGAUUUGUGCCCAGGUCCUGCCCUACCUCUCCCAAGAGCACCAGCAGCAGGUCUUGGGAGCCAUUGAGAGGGCCAAGCAGGUCACCGCUCCCGAGCUGAACUCUAUCAUCCGAGUAUCAGCUCCAAGCCCACCAGCUGUCCCAGCUGCAGGCCCUGGCCCUGCCCUUGACCCCACUACCCGUGGGGCUGCAGCCGCCUUCGCUGCCGGCGGUCAGCGCAGGCACCGGCCUCCUCUCGCUGUCCGCGCUGGGUUCCCAGGCCCACCUCUCCAAGGAAGACAAGAACGGGCACGAUGGUGACACCCACCAGGAGGAUGAUGGCGAGAAGUCGGAUUAGCAGGGGGCCGGGACAGGGAGGUUGGGAGGGGGGACAGAGGGGAGACAGAGGCACGGAGAGAAAGGAAUGUUUAGCACAAGACACAGCGGAGCUCGGGAUUGGCUAAACUCCCAUAGUAUUUAUGGUGGCCGCCGGCGGGGGCCCCAGCCCAGCUUGCAGGCCACCUCUAGCUUUCUUCCUACCCCAUUCCCGGCUUCCCUCCUCCUCCCCUGCAGCCUGGUUAGGUGGAUACCUGCCCUGACAUGUGAGGCAAGCUAAGGCCUGGAGGGUCAGAUGGGAGACCAGGUCCCAAGGGAGCAAGACCUCGCGAAGCGCAGCAGCCCCGGCCCUUCCCCCGUUUUGAACAUGUGUAACCGACAGUCUGCCUGGGCCACAGCCCUCUCACCCUGGUACUGCAUGCACGCAAUGCUAGCUGCCCCUUUCCCGUCCUGGGCACCCCGAGUCUCCCCCGACCCCGGGUCCCAGGUAUGCUCCCACCUCCACCUGCCCCACUCACCACCUCUGCUAGUUCCAGACACCUCCACGCCCACCUGGUCCUCUCCCAUCGCCCACAAAAGGGGGGGCACGAGGGACGAGCUUAGCUGAGCUGGGAGGAGCAGGGUGAGGGUGGGCGACCCAGGAUUCCCCCUCCCCUUCCCAAAUAAAGAUGAG
rnacentral:lncRNA from 1 species